GUCUCUCCGUCCCUCUCUGUCCACCUGUCUCUCCUGUCACUGUGAUGUGCUCGUGUCUUUCUCUCUAUCCAUGCAGUCAUUCCCUCCAUGUAGUCUUCCUUCAUGUGCAGACCUCUCGCCCAGUGCCCAGUGGGACACAAAAACACAGCAACCCUUUAAGUCCUUCUUACCAGUCACUCCUGUGACACUCAGAUCAGCUUAUUCUCCUGUCACAAGAGUCUCUUUAUGGCUGUUACAAAUUUGAAGUUACUAAAAUGGUGGUCUAAUUCACAGCCAGCUGGGGUGAGAAAUGUGCCUUCUUUGGCUUGCGCUGGUGGUCCUGGGAUGGGUGUUGCCUCAGUUUGCAGUUUCAGAAGAAUCCACGGCUCUGCUCUUAUUUACUGCUGCGCACGCGAAAGUGCUGGAGCCUGCCAAACCAAACCGGAGGAAGCUCAGGUCCCCCGAGACUCGCACACAGACAGAGACUCGCACACAGACAGGUGGACCAGGGGUGCUGCAGCGGGAGAGUCAAAUGGAUGGAGGAUUGGCCAUAAGCAGCCGUAGCCGCAGCAGCAAGAACAGAAACCGCAGUGCUAGGUUUGCGUGUUACAGUAGUGUCACGCUUAACGAAGGUAAGAACAGAAAGUGCUAGGUGUGCCUGUUACAGUAGUGUCACACUUAACGUAGGUAAGAACAGAAACAGCAGAGCUUGGUGUGCCUGUUACAGUAGUGUCACGCUUAACGAAAGUAGGACCCAAACAGCAGUGCUAGGUGUGCCUGUUACAGUAGUGUCACGCUUAACGAAGGUAAGAACACAAACAGCAGUGCUAGGUGUGCCUGUUACAGUAGUGUCACGCUUAACGAAGGUAAGAACACAAACAGCAGUGCUAGGUGUGCCUGUUACAGUACGCUUAACGAAGGUAAGAACACAAACAGCAGUGCUAGGUGUACGUGUUACAGUAGUGUCACGCUUAACGAAGGUAAGAACACAAACAGCAGUGCUAGGUGUGCCUGUUACAGUACGCUUAACGAAGGUAAGAACACAAACAGCAGUGCUAGGUGUGCCUGUUACAGUACGCUUAACGAAGGUAAGAACACAAACAGCAGUGCUAGGUGUGCCUGUUACAGUAGUGUCACGCUUAACGAAGGUAAGAACACAAACAGCAGUGCUAGGUGUACGUGUUACAGUAGUGUCACACUUAACGAAGGUAGGACCCAAACAGCAGUGCUAGGUGUACGUGUUACAGUAGUGUCACGCUUAACGAAGGUAAGAACACAAACAGCAGUGCUAGGUGUGCCUGUUACAGUAGUGUCGCGCUUAACGAAGGUAAGAACACAAACAGCAGUGCUAGGUGUGCCUGUUACAGUAGUGUCACGCUUAACGAAGUUAAGAACAGAAACAGCAGUGCUAGGUGUGCCUGUUACAGUAGUGUCGCGCUUAACGAAGGUAGGACCCAAAUGCAAGGACUCCAAGGCAGAGUUUCAACAUGAAGGACAAGCUUUACUUAAACAAAAACAAGCAACAAACAGGGAUAGAGCAGUGAGGUAAAUCCAACAUGAAACAAUUCCAGAGCAGUGGACUGAGGAAGACAAGACUUUAACAAGGAAACUAGAAACAGGUGAACCAAAUGAUUCAAUAAACGAUUCAAUAAACAGCAACAAAAAAAAAAAAGGAACUAACAUAAGGGCUGUUAUGUCCUAUGUCUUUUUUCCAAACCACUUUUCUUUGACCUCCAUGGAAAACGUCAUGAGAUCAAGAAAAAGAUGUGAAGGACAAUUCAUGAGGACUGGGAGAGUCUGACUGCACUUGCACUAGGCAUUGGAAUUAUGAGAUGGCGGAUGUUACUGAUGUGGGUCUGAUGUAGCUGCCGCAAGGAAUUGUGGGACGGCAUUAUCUUGCCCUUCUUUCAUAAAGGACGGUCCAGUGCACGCUAUGCUAAAGGAGAGGAGAAAGGAAGCCUUGAAGCACCUUCCCUAAGCAUUUAGAAGAAUUCGGCCAGCUCUUAGCAUGGCUGCCACUUAGAUAGUUCAGGGUUACUUCACUCAGUUAGGAACCUUCCUAAGCAAAAAAGACUAUCUGACCACAGCCCAGGAACAACGGAAGCACGUGAAGGUCAGAGAGUAAACAAUACACACAUGACUACUACAAAACAAAAGUCCCUAAACUCAAACUAAGGAAACACAACCCAAAGCCGUGACAAAAGAGGAAAAAUGCGCAGAAGUUAAACACAGAGGGGUCGCCAUACCUGGAAAGAGAAUUUUGAGAGGGGGAAAAACCAAACUCUGUGACAGCGUCAGAGUCUACUGUGCCAAAGACAGACUCUCAAAGUUUGACUUUUCAUCUUUUCAUCAAAUCUGUCACCUGGCAUUGCUGUUGGAGUGAACAGUGCUGAAGAGACCUGUGGCUCAACUGGUGGAGCAAGGGGCUAACAAUGCUAAUAUGAUAAAUAAUAAUAAUAAUAAUAAAACUUUAUUUAUAUAGCACCUUUCAUGCAAAAGAAUGAAAUAAUAAUGAGUUAUAAUGAGUUUAAUUCUCAGGGCGCACACAUACUGACUAAACUGUGCACCUGUCCUGUUCUGCUUAAGGUUCCUUCCUGAUUAACAGGGAGUUUUUUCUUGCCCCUGAUGCCAUUG